UUAACAGUUCGGCCAUAGUUACCACAAGUGCAAAUAUGUUGAAGUUGAAGGGCUACUUGGGUGCGAUCGAUGUCUUUCUAAAACUAAAACCCUAGCCGAUCCUUGAAAAGUCUCCAAAUCCCUCCCCCCUGUAUCAAUCAAGCUUCUUUCUGAAAGGUCCUCAUUAAUUUCUGCCGUGUUUUUGACUUUUCGAUUAGGCUCAAAAUUGGUUGAUUGAAUCCUCAUAUUUCUCCCUUUGUCUGACCUAAGGUGUUUGUGGAAGAAAGAAGCUUGAUUGAUUCUGUCUGUCUGUCUGUCAAUGGCACCACUUAUAAACAGGUUCCCUUUUGUAGCUAAUCAUUUAAAGAAAAUGAUAAACAAGCUCAAUGAAAGUGGUGAGAAACAUGUCAUAAAAUCAUGGUCUCGUGCGUCUAUGAUUAUUCCUGAAAUGGUGGGCCAUCGUAUUGCCAUCCAUAAUGGAAAGAAACAUCGCCCGAUUCAGAUUAAAGAUGCUAUGGUAGGGCACAAGUUGGGAGAAUUUGCACUUACACGAGCGCGUAAGCCACAAAAGCAGCAAAAUGUCAAGAAGCCUGGGAAGAAGAAGUGAUUAGCAGUGCCUAAGAAAGACAUGCUGCCAUCAAAUGUUUAUGCUUGAGCUUUAGUGAUGAUCCCUUACUCUGCACCAUUAUUGUUUUGUGACCCUUUCAGUAUCAGCAUGCCAAACAUAUUAGGAUUGAUAUUGUUGUGACUGGUUAUUUCACAACUCAACAGGAAAUGCAAAUACCUAUAAAUCUAUAGGUUUCUAUUAA